rnacentral:misc_RNA from 1 species
UUUCCGUAGGUGAACCUGCGGAAGGAUCAUUAUUGAAACUUGAAUCGUAGCAUCGAGAACUGUCGCUGACCUGUUAAAAGGUAUGUGCACGUUCGACGUGUUGCGUUCUAUUCAUCCACCUGUGCACCUUUGUAGACUUGAUUAACUUUCGCUCUCGAGCGGUUAGAAGGGUUGCUUUCGAGCUCCCUUUGUCUAUCAAGUCUAUGUCUAUAUAAUCUCUUGUAUGUCUAGAAUGUCUUGUUUAUGGGACGCAAGUCCUUUAAAUCUUAUACAACUUUCAACAACGGAUCUCUUGGCUCUC